rnacentral:lncRNA from 1 species
GUCCAGCUCUGUGACACUGAAGGUCACCAGUUCCCUUGCUGGCUUCGACUGAAUGAUUCCCCUGUGAAGUCCCUUGUUUACUGUAUUUGUAAUUAGCCACCAAGAACUUGAGUAACCGGUUUCCGAGGAGAACAUAUAUCCUGAAUCAGUUCCUGGACAUUUGUUUGAGGUCUUGUAAGGGAAACUGAAGGGAAUUGUGUAUUGAACAGGAUGGCUUAGACCUGCUCAACUUCUGAGAAUUGAGGCAAAGUGGGCAAUCCAGAUGUAUCACUUGACUUUCUGACUACUGGAAGAAUUUCCCUUCAUUAUUGCACACCAGGGGUAUCCCACAGAUGAUGAAGAGCCAAGGAGCCUAUCAGGAAGGCAAUGAAGAGACUGGCAAAGGCAAGAAGGUACUAUCACUGCUAGAGAGAUCCAGGGGGAAGGCUGUGUGACCAGAGUCAAGGAACAGGAACAUCUGGAGAAAGCCUGCCCAAACAAGAGCUGAAGCCGUGUGGAGGAGACGCAGCAGCUACCACUGCAAAUGCUACUCGAGGCAGAGAGACGGAGGAGGUGGAAUGUGGCCUGUUUCCUCCUUGGGCCCUUCGGUUUUCCACAGUGUCUUUCACUGGCCUUCUUGAAAUCCAGGAAACAAGAGAGCUGGAAAAUAUUGGUCUCUGAGUUAUAGCACAGGGCAGAGAAGGGCAGAAAAUGCACCUGAAAGAAAACAGACUGCGUUUAGCUCUUGUCACCCAGGCUGGAGUGCAAAGGUGCGAUCUCAGCUCACCGCAACCUCCGCCUCCUGGAUUCAAGCAAUUCUCCUGCCUCUGUCUC